rnacentral:rRNA from 1 species
UCUCCUACGGGAGGCAGCAGUGGGGAAUAUUGCACAAUGGGGGAAACCCUGAUGCAGCGACGCCGCGUGAGUGAAGAAGUAUUUCGGUAUGUAAAGCUCUGUCAGCAGGGAAGAAAAUGACGGUACCUGACCAAGAAGCCCCGGCUAACUACGUGCCAGCAGCCGCGGUAAUACGUAGGGGGCAAGCGUUAUCCGGAUUUACUGGGUGUAAAGGGAGCGUAGACGGUUGUGCAAGUCUGAAGUGAAAGCCCGCGGCUCAACUGCGGAACGGCUUUGGAAACUGUGCGGCUUGAGUGCGGGAGGGG